rnacentral:rRNA from 1 species
CACACGACCGUACCGCAAACCGACACUGGUGCGCGAGAUGAGUAUUCUAAGGCGCUUGAGAGAACUCAGGAGAAGGAACUCGGCAAAUUGACACCGUAACUUCGGAAGAAGGUGUGCCUUUAGUAGGUGAACCAUUUACUUGGGGAGCCCAAUGAGGUUGCAAAAAAUCGGUGGCUGCGACUGUUUAUUAAAAACACAGCACUCUGCAAACACGAAAGUGGACGUAUAGGGUGUGACGCCUGCCCGGUGCUGGAAGAUUAAAUGAUGGGGUGCAAGCUCUUGAUUGAAGUCCCAGUAAACGGCGGCCGUAACAAUAACGGUCCUAAGGUAGCGAAAUUCCUUGUCGGGUAAGUUCCGACCUGCACGAAUGGCGUAACGAUGGCCACACUGUCUCCUCCUGAGACUCAGCGAAGUUGAAAUGUUUGUGAUGAUGCAAUCUCCCCGCGGAAAGACGGAAAGACCCCAUGAACCUUUACUGUAGCUUUGUAUUGGACUUUGAACAGAUCUGUGUAGGAUAGGUGGGAGGCUUUGAAGUAGGGUCGCUAGAUUCUAUGGAGCCAACGUUGAAAUACCACCCUGGUGUGUUUGAGGUUCUAACCUAGGUCCAUUAUCUGGAUCGGGGACAGUGCAUGGUAGGCAGUUUGACUGGGGCGGUCUCCUCCCAAAGCGUAACGGAGGAGUUCGAAGGUACGCUAGUUACGGUCGGACAUCGUGACGAUAGUGCAAUGGCAUAAGCGUGCUUAACUGCGAGACUGACAAGUCGAGCAGAUGCGAAAGCAGGACAUAGUGAUCCGGUGGUUCUGUAUGGAAGGGCCAUCGCUCAACGGAUAAAAGGUACUCUGGGGAUAACAGGCUGAUACCGCCCAAGAGUUCAUAUCGACGGCGGUGUUUGGCACCUCGAUGUCGGCUCAUCUCAUCCUGGGGCUGUAGCCGGUCCCAAGGGUAUGGCUGUUCGCCAUUUAAAGAGGUACGUGAGCUGGGUUUAAAACGUCGUGAGACAGUUUGGUCCCUAUCUUCCGUGGGCGCUGCAGAUUUGAGGAAGCCUGCUCCUAGUACGAGAGGACCGGAGUGGACACACCUCUGGUGUAUCGGUUGUCACGCCAGUGGCAUUGCCGAGUAGCUAAGUGUGGAAGAGAUAACCGCUGAAAGCAUCUAAGCGGGAAACUCGUUUCAAGAUGAGAUCUGCCGGGGCCUUGAGCCCCCUAAAGAGUCGUUCAAGACCAGGACGUUGAUAGGUCGGGUGUGGAAGCGCAGUAAUGCGUUAAGCUAACCGAUACUAAUUGCUCGUGCGGCUUGACC